rnacentral:rRNA from 1 species
GACGAACGCUGGCGGCGUGCUUAACACAUGCAAGUCGAACGAAGUGGCGAACGGGUGAGUAACGCGUAAUCAACCUGCCCUUCAGAGGGGGACAACAGUUGGAAACGACUGAUAAUACCGCAUACUGAGGGAGGGGAUUGCGUCUGAUUAGGUAGUUGGAGGGGUAACGGCCCACCAAGGCGAUGAUCAGUAGCCGGACUGAGGGGAGGACCGGCCACAUUGGGACUGAGACACGGCCCAGACUCCUACGGGAGGCAGCAGUGGGGAAUCUGCCGCAAUGGACGAAAGUCUGACGGAGCAACGCCGCGGGAGUGAUGACGGCCUUCGGGUUGGAAAGCUCUGUUAAUCGGGACGCGGUACCGGAAUAGAAAGCCACGGCUAACUACGUGCCAGCAGCCGCGGUAAUAC